rnacentral:piRNA from 1 species
UGCCAAAAUGUCUUCUCAUAGAUAUA